CGACCGGAUGCGGAUCUCGAAAGCCUGUCCCAGUUCGGACUGGAGUCUGCAACCCGACUCUACGAAGUUGGAUUCGCUAGUAAUCGCGCAUCAGCCAUGGCGCGGUGAAUACGUUCCCGGGCCUUGUACACACCGCCCGUCAAGCCAUGGGAGCCGGGGGCGCCUGAAGUCCGGGACCGCGAGGACCGGCCUAGGGCGAAACUGGUAACUGGGGCUAAGUCGUAACAAGGUACC
rnacentral:rRNA from 1 species